GUUUUAAAACUUGCACACUGUUAGUAAAUUCAUCACCAGAGUGUGAAAACUGUGAACUCUCUUCAAGUAAAUCAAAUAAUGUAAAUCCUUCAGUUAACAGAUGGCCAAAAACUUCAAUCUUUCCACAGUAAAGAAUGGUUUCAUCUUAGUAUGCAAUAUGAAUGAAGGAGAGUUCCUGUUGUUCUACAUCCUUGUCAGCAUUUGGUAGUGUCAGUGUUCUGAAUUUGGACAUUCUUUAAGUAAUGAAGUUCAGACACUUUAAUGGGGCACAUGGGCAUUUGGGAUAAAGACUGAAAGAAUAACAUCCGGCCAAUGAGAUGCAAGCAAAGUUUUAGUUAUAAAUUCUGGAAAGUGUUCUUUAAGGA